CCUACGGGAGGCAGCAGUGAGGAAUAUUGGUCAAUGGGCGCGAGCCUGAACCAGCCAAGUCGCGUGAAGGAUGACUGCCCUACGGGUUGUAAGCUUCUUUUAUAAAGGAAUAAAGUGAGGCACGUGUGCCUUUUUGUAUGUACUUUAUGAAUAAGGAUCGGCUAACUCCGUGCCAGCCGCCGCGGUAAUACGGAGGAUCCGAGCGUUAUCCGGAUUUGUAGGGUUUAAAGGGAGCGUAGAUGGGUUGUUAAGUCAGUUGUGAAAGUUUGCGGCUCAACCGUAAAAUUGCAAUUGAUACUGGCAGUCUUGAGUAUAGUUGAGGUAGGUGGAAUUCGUGGUGUAGCGGUGAAAUGCUUAGAGAUCACGAAGAACUCCGAUUGCGAAGGCAGCUUACUAAACUGCCACUGACAUUGAUGCGCGAAAGUGUGGGUAUCAAACAGGAUUAGAUACCCGUGUAGUC
rnacentral:rRNA from 1 species